AAUUUGAUUUUACAAUUUAUUUUCAGGUUGACAGGAUGGAUAAUGCGGCAAAUAAAUCAUAUGGCGCAUUUCCGGAACGUCUCUACGCCAUAUUGGAUGGUGAAGUAGUUUUUGCGGGAGGUAUCGGUCCGUUUCAAUACAGCCUGGAGGAACUGGACACAUUUCUGGAAAUAAAACUGGGCAAAGAGAAAAUGAAAUGUCGAUGAAAAUGUUUAAACAUGAUAAAUAUGGAGCAAUGAAGGAUCAGUUGAAAAUCUACGGACAAACUAAUCUGAAUGAUAAUCUCAUAUUAAUUUAAGGGUUAAACUGAAAUAAAUUGAAACUCGAGUAAA